rnacentral:rRNA from 1 species
UACGUAGGGUGCGAGCGUUGUCCGGAAUUAUUGGGCGUAAAGGGCUCGUAGGCGGUUUGUCGCGUCGGGAGUGAAAACCCAGGGCUUAACCCUGGGCUGGCUUCCGAUACGGGCAGACUAGAGGUAGGCAGGGGAGAGCGGAACUCCUGGUGUAGCGGUGGAAUGCGCAGAUAUCAGGAAGAACACCGGUGGCGAAGGCGGCUCUCUGGGCCUUACCUGACGCUGAGGAGCGAAAGCGUGGGUAGCGAACAGG